rnacentral:rRNA from 1 species
GACGAACGCUGGCGGCGUGCUUAACACAUGCAAGUCGAACGGAAAGGCCCUGCUUUUGUGGGGUGCUCGAGUGGCGAACGGGUGAGUAACACGUGAGUAACCUGCCCUUGACUUUGGGAUAUCUUCAGGAAACUGGGGCUAAUACCGGAUAGGAGCUCCUGCUGCAUGGUGGGGGUUGGAAAGUUUCGGCGGUUGGGGAUGGACUCGCGGCUUAUCAGCUUGUUGGUGGGGUAGUGGCUUACCAAGGCUUUGACGGGUAGCAGGCCUGAGAGGAUGACCGGCCACAUUGGGACUGAGAUACGGCCCAGACUCCAACGGGAGGCAACGGAGGAGAAUAUUACACAAUGGGCGGAAGCCAGAUGCAACAACGCCGCGUGCGGGAUGACAGCCUUCGGGUUGUAAACCGCUUUCGCCUGUGACGAGGCGUGAGUGACGGUAAUGGGUAAAGAAGCACCGGCUAACUACGUG